UACAGAGGGGGGCAAGCGUUGUUCGGAAUUACUGGGCGUAAAGGGCGCGUAGGCGGCCUGUUAAGUCGAACGUGAAAUCCCCGGGCUCCAACCCGGGAACUGCGUCCGAUACUGGCAGGCUUGAAUCCGGGAGAGGGAUGGCGGAAUUCCAGGUGUAGCGGUGAAAUGCGUAGAUAUCUGGAGGAACACCGGUGGCGAAGGCGCCGAUGCCUAGGACCGGG
rnacentral:rRNA from 1 species